rnacentral:rRNA from 1 species
AACCAACAGGGAUUGCCUCAGUAACGGCGAGUGAAGCGGCAAAAAGCUCAAAUUUGAAAUCUAACACUUUCAGUGUUCGAGUUGUAAUUUGAAGAAAGUUUCUCUGAGUAGUCCUUUAUCUAUGUUCCUUGGAACAGGACGUCAUAGAGGGUGAGAAUCCCGUAUGAUUUUGGAUACUAUUCUUUGUGAGAUUCUUUCGAAGAGUCGAGUUGUUUGGGAAUGCAGCUCUAAGUGGGUGGUAAAUUCCAUCUAAAGCUAAAUAUUGGCGAGAGACCGAUAGCGAACAAGUACAGUGAUGGAAAGAUGAAAAGAACUCUGAAGAGAGAGUGAAAAAGUACGUGAAAUUGCUGAAAGGGAAGGGCUUUAGGUCAGACUUGGUGUUUAAAUGAUUAUCUUCUCUUUUUGAGUUGUGCACUCGUUUUCACUGGGCCAAUAUCAGUUUUGUGGUAGAGCACCUAUUGGAAUGUAGCUUUCUUCGGAUGAGUGUUAUAGCCUUUAGACGAUCUU